UACGGAGGGUGCGAGCGUUGUCCGGAAUCAUUGGGCGUAAAGGGCGCGUAGGCGGCUCAUGAAGGCUGUGGUGAAAGUCCGGGGCUCAACCUCGGAUCGGCCGUGGCGACUCGUGGGCUGGAGCACUGUAGAGGCGGGUGGAAUUCCGGGUGUAGCGGUGGAAUGCGUAGAGAUCCGGAAGAACACCAGUGGCGAAGGCGGCCCGCUGGGCAGUGGCUGACGCUGAGGCGCGACAGCGUGGGGGAGCAAACAGG
rnacentral:rRNA from 1 species